CCUACGGGGGGCAGCAGUGGGGAAUAUUGCACAAUGGGGGAAACCCUGAUGCAGCGACGCCGCGUGAGUGAAGAAGUAUCUCGGUACGUAAAGCUCUAUCAGCAGGGAAGAAAAUGACGGUACCUGACUAAGAAGCCCCGGCUAACUACGUGCCAGCAGCCGCGGUAAUACGUAGGGGGCAAGCGUUAUCCGGAUUUACUGGGUGUAAAGGGAGCGUAGACGGCAGUGCAAGUCUGGAGUGAAAGCCCGGGGCUGAACCCCGGGACUGCUUUGGAAACUGUGCGGCUGGAGUGCAGGAGGGGUAAGCGGAAUUCCUAGUGUAGCGGUGAAAUGCGUAGAUAUUAGGAGGAACACCAGUGGCGAAGGCGGCUUACUGGACUGCAACUGACGUUGAGGCUCGAAAGCGUGGGGAGCAAACAGGAUUAGAUACCCGAGUAGUC
rnacentral:rRNA from 1 species